UACGGAGGGUGCAAGCGUUGUUCGGAAUUAUUGUGCGUAAAGGGCAGGUAGGUGGUCUCUUAAGUCUACUGUGAAAUCCCCGGGCUUAACUCGGGAAGUGCGGUGGAUACUGAGAGACUAGAGUACUGGAGGGGUGCGUGGAAUUCCUGGUGUAGCGGUGAAAUGCGUAGAUAUCGGGAGUAACAUCAGUGGCGAAGGCGGCUGCCUGGCCCAAUACUGACACUCAGGUGCGACAGCGUGGGGAGCAAACAGG
rnacentral:rRNA from 1 species